UGUAAAGACCAGUUGAAGCGGACCCAGAUGCAGACACAGGAGGCAGAUGAAAAAUUAACAAAAAGGCUUUAUUGCCAAAAAUUGUGCAGAUGAAAUGAUCAAGGCAGAAAGGGGGCUGGGGUUAAACCAGGCAGGCAUGCAGAUAUUGUAACAGGCAUGCAGAUAUUGUAGAGGGCAGGUGUAACCCAGGUCACAAAGAGUUAACACACGGAGGUGUCUUAGCCAAUCAGAGCGCAGGUUUACUGCACCCAAGGCAGGCUAGACAGUAUACCCUACUCAAACGCUAGAGGACACUGUCGGGAGAGGACCUGCCGCUGAACGGUAAAAAUAUAGCUCAGAUAAAGUUGUAAACACAAUAUAACGUCGUCAAAUCAUAAUGGUAACAGUCUGUACUCUGUUAUAAGCUCAUAGAUGUGUGUGUGAGAGAGGCCCUGCUCACUGAAAGCUGCUGAGCGACACAGAAACUCCCGACUCGGUGAGUCGCUGUAAUAAAUAAGAGCUGCGUCACGAUGUGCUGAGCUGACAAGUUCAAGUGGAAAGGCCCAGAGUUAACAGACUUAGCAUUAAGCUAUGAACAGUGCAUUUAACUAACUGUUGUAGAGCUCAACUCAAUGAAAGCUGCACUGGGAAGAAUAUAAAACGUGACAUAAAGAGUGUUUAGUUGCUCAAUGUUUUCUCUGGCUAGUAAAGCUACUGAACGGUUUAAUACUGAAGCAACAUGAGUUAUGGUCAGGUUUGUUUGGAGUGAUUCAAAGUUGAUGGCGAGCUAACCCAGACGAGACCUCUAGAUCCUGGAUUGAAGAUCCCUGAGCCAAGAGCUGUCAACCUUACCCCUCUUCUGCCACGGCGGUAGGGUAAACAUCACAACCUGUACAAGGCUACACCACCCUUUACACUCAACUCCCAGCAUCGUGCACAACCUCAAACCCCAGACUCUGACUUAACCCCUUUUUUGACUUGACUUGGAAAACAUUUACCCUCUUCAUGCUCCCUGAAACACAUUCCCUGUGCCGGUGAAAGGACUGAGUGUUAACCAUCACACUGGUUAAAGUGAAUGGACUGAAUAUUCAUAUUAUGGAUAUGGUGUAUUGUGAUGCCUUGGUAACGAUGUCUAUUACUGGAACAGUUGAUAUAGAAUUAUUGUAAGUGUUAUGUUUGGUUCAACAAAAGCGUGGACUCAAAUGCAGACAAGUCUUUUAAAGGUGUAACAAAUAUAAUUUAUUACAAUAAUAUUAAAGGAACUGUGAACAGGGCUGGGGUUCCUGAAGGUCUGAAACGUGGCAGUAAUAGAGUCAAUACUGAACUCACGGAACGGGGGGCACGGGGAGGGGGUGUCCAGGAAUCCUUCCAGAGGAACAGAUGAAACCACUUGAGCUCCGAGAGGUGGAAUGACGUCGGAGAGUGAACAGGCAUGGUAGUAACUAAGGUAAGGAUCCAGGUCGAGGAGGAGAGCGUGUAGGAGUGAGCAGGCAGGUUGGAACCAGGAAGCAG